rnacentral:tRNA from 1 species
GCGCCCGUAGCUCAGAUGGAUAGAGCACUAGCCUCCGGAGCUAGGGGUCGGGGGUUCGAACCCCUCCGGGCGCGCCA